rnacentral:tRNA from 1 species
GGAGGGUUGGCCGAGCGGUAAGGCAGCGGUUUGCUACGCCGUCGUCGGGGUGACACCCGCGCGAGUUCGAAUCUCGCACCCUCCG